GAGGAUGUAGCUCAGUGGUAGAGCACUUGCCUAGCAUGCAUGAGACUCUGGGUUUAAUCCUUAGCAUUGCCA
rfam:Ictidomys tridecemlineatus contig083054, whole genome shotgun sequence.